GAUGAACGCUGGCGGCGUGCCUAAUACAUGCAAGUCGAGCGAACAGAUAAGGAGCUUGCUCCUUUGACGUUAGCGGCGGACGGGUGAGUAACACGUGGGUAACCUACCUAUAAGACUGGGAUAACUUCGGGAAACCGGAGCUAAUACCGGAUAACAUUUGGAACCGCAUGGUUCUAAAGUGAAAGAUGGUUUUGCUAUCACUUAUAGAUGGACCCGCGCCGUAUUAGCUAGUUGGUAAGGUAACGGCUUACCAAGGCGACGAUACGUAGCCGACCUGAGAGGGUGAUCGGCCACACUGGAACUGAGACACGGUCCAGACUCCUACGGGAGGCAGCAGUAGGGAAUCUUCCGCAAUUGGCGAAAGCCUGACGGAGCAACGCCGCGUGAGUGAUGAAGGGUUUCGGCUCGUAAAACUCUGUUAUUAGGGAAGAACAAAUGUGUAAGUAACUGUGCACGUCUUGACGGUACCUAAUCAGAAAGCCACGGCUAACUACGUG
rnacentral:rRNA from 1 species